UACGUAGGGUGCGAGCGUUAAUCGGAAUUACUGGGCGUAAAGCGCGUGUAGGUGGCUUCGCGAGUCCGAUGUGAAAGCCCCGGGCUUAACCUGGGAAUGGCAUUUGGGACUGCAAGGCUUGAGUGCGGCAGAGGAGACUGGAAUUCCUGGUGUAGCAGUGAAAUGCGUAGAUAUCAGGAGGAAUACCGAUGGCGAAGGCAGGUCUCUGGGCUGACACUGACGCUCAUGCACGAAAGCGUGGGGAGCAAACAGG
rnacentral:rRNA from 1 species